rnacentral:tRNA from 1 species
GAAGUGGUAGAAAGUGAAUGCUGCUAACUUAUCACUAUAGCGGUUAAAAUCCGUUUACACUUCU